CAGGGAGACAACAAAAUGUUUAAUAUUAUUAUUUUGUCACCUUAGGUCGAUCGGUAUCUCACGUUCUUAAUUUAUUAAGAAUUUCAUUUCCUAAGUUUUUCUAGGUCACACCCAUUAUUUUUCCUGGGCCAUUAGCUCAGGUGGUUAGAGCGCACCCCUGAUAAGGGUGAGGUCCCUGGUUCAAGUCCAGGAUGGCCCAUAUCUCUAUGUUGGGGGUAUAGCUCAGUUGGUAGAGCGCCUGCUUUGCAAGCAGGAUGUCAGCGGUUCGAGUCCGCUUACCUCCACUGAUCACCACCUCUUCCAUAAUCGGUAGAAAGGAAAUUUUUUGAGUUGUGAUCAAAUUCUGAAAGAAUCUAGCUUCCUAAUUAAAUAAUUAAGAUGCUGGACUCAUUGAAUUAAUUUCAUUGUUUUCAGAGAACCUUGACAACUGCAUAGAUUAUUUUUAAAGACAAUAAGCAUCUUUAAUGAUGCAGAUUUAUUAUUUGUGCAAAUGCAUUAAUAACAAUUCUAUUAAGCUGAUGCUUCAAUUUUUGAAGUUAUU
rnacentral:tRNA from 1 species